ACCACUAUCGAAACAUCGCGAGACGAGUGGAGGCUUCGCUGGUUUCCCGUCUCUCCCUUCUUCUCCCUCAUCUUCACUGCCGCCGGCCCACCGCCCAUAUCAUCCCAAGGGCGAGAUCCCUCUUCUCCAUAUCCGGCCGCCGUGCCUCCGCCCACGUAUUCCCUUCCGUUCCCUCUUCCUCUCUGGCCACUUAGGAAGUUAUUGGCGAUCUGUCCUCUUCUUUCUCCUGAGGCGGCUGCCGGCGCAGAUGAGAAGCUCAGCGCCCUCCUCUCCUUCCCGAGGUGGGUGGCAGCGCGGUAGUCUGUCUCUCCGCGGCUGUUGGCGCGGUAGUCUGAUCCUCCGUGGUGUUGCUGAUUCGUCAACUUCUUGCGUGUGGUCGGCAACGGACUGGUUGGAUUGAAGUGGCGGUCAUACCUUGCUGCAGUGGUUCUUGCCUCCUCCCGGCCUAAUCCCUCGGCCACUUCGACCGGCGAGGUUACACUCAUGGAGGGCGCCAAUCAGAGAUAACCUACACGCCCUCUACUCGGCUAUGGGCAACACCUUUGUGUGCCACUACAUGGCCUCCAGAUCUCACUCAUAGAUGGAGUCAUGGAGGCAGCGGCAGACCAGUAAGCUACCUUUUUCUCGGGUCUCCCUCUCCUCCCUGCACGCAGAUAAGAAAAAGAGAAGCACAAACAUGUAAGCUUACCGGCAUUUUUUUUUUGGAAAUUGAAGAGUAUUAUUGCAUAUGAUAAGUAAAGUCUUUAGAAUCAUAUUAUGCAAACACCAAGACUAUUUGUUUGCACAGGAUCAUGUUCUAAUUAGGAACCAAUCAAACCAUUUGUUUUUGCAUGAGAAGGCAGCUACUGUCCCUUCGCCUUGGUGACCUCUAGGUGGAAAAAUUGCAAGGAAGAAAAAGAAAAUGUAGACCCUCCAUGAGAGCAAGCAGAAACAAGAAUUGUUAAAAACACAAAGAGGUGGCCAUACCGUACAUGCUGGAUGAUCAUCGGAGGAACAUAGUUCUCCGAUUCCAUGUAGGCAGUUCUGCACUUGACAUAGAACCUUCUUUUUGGAAAUUGUCAAUGCUUAUUAAAUGCCAGCUAUAUGUUGUUUUAAUGCAUUUUUUGUCACUGUGGAUGCUAUCGUACAUGUUACAGUCUAUCUUAGGUAUUACUUUGACAUUUUUCCUGCUUAUAGGGAAAAGGAUGUAUGCCAAUUCAAGCUUAUAUGUACUACUAAUAAUAUAACUCUAUGGUGCUUACAAGCAGUUCGAUACAUACACAGAUGAGAUAUUCAUAUUGUGGGUUUUGCUACUUCGUUCAUUUGUGGUCAGUUAGCCAAGAGGAGUCAUGGUUCUGAUCUUUCUCAGUACUAUGCUAAACAAUUGGUGGAAUGUGUAUCAUGUACGGUUGAGAUUUUUUAAUCCAAGGCUACCAGUAUGUACCAGAAGAAUACCCACAAAACCACAAGGUUAGAUACUAAGUUGUGUACUUCAGUUUCACACUCAAUCAUUUAUUUUGAGAGCUGAGAUUUCAUUUGUUUGGAGACCUCUGUGUUAUUUCCUAUUAUUUGUUCCCCUAUAGGGCUUCCCUCUGAAACUUUUCAUUCACUAAUGAUUGAAGCGGCUCUAGAAAGGUAAUUAGUUUGUUAUGCUUCAAAUAUCAUAUCAUGUACAAUAUAAGCAAAGUAGAUACCUUUGUAUUAAGAGAUCUCAGGAUUCCAAAGUGGGAACCGUACAAACUUAGUUGUCCAUUUUCAGCGAGCAGUGAAAUUGUUUUGUAGUCCAUUGCUACAAGCUGCUAAUGCAUUCUAUUAUUAGUAUUAUGUUCGAAAUUGUUGCCGGUAAAUUACAAUGCUGCUAACAUUUUUAAUUUGCGUAUUUCCCAUAGUUUGGUGUCAGAGAGUUGCUUUUGGAUGGUUAAUAUUGCGAACUGCAUGAUAAUUAUAAAUUUAUGAUAUUUCUUUCCCGAGCAAUAUUGUUGUUCAAGACAGUAGUACAGACGCCGGCGAUGGAAAAAUAUGGGGUCGAUGAUAGACCAAAUGGUCCUGAUUUUGUAUGAGAAGACAUUCAAAAUUACCGAUGACAAGAUGAUUUUCAGGGACAUUUUGGAAGCUGCUACGGAGUGGUACUUUUCAGGAAAAUCCUUGCGGUCAUAGAUGACCGACCAGGAUUUCAUAUCAAAUGCAGAGCCACAAAAUCUACACAGUGGUUGAGAUCUUGCAACUAUCUCGGAGAAGUUGAUGCAAAGCUGAAGACAUGAAGAUUAUUGAUAAAGCAAUCGGGUAUCUUAGAAAUGCCCAAUAAGAGAUGACAAAAGUGGUGAACCAUAGAUGGCGCCAUAGAUGGCGGGAGAGUGUUGAACUGUAAUUUGUGAGGAUACUGAACUAGAACUAGAGGUUAGUUCCAUGUUGUCAUUUCCAGAGCACAAAUAUUUGGGAUGUUUGUUCAAGAGAGCUGAACCAUGGAUUUCUUGCUAUUUAUUGUAUGCUGUGUUGAAAACUUGAAAUACUCUUGAGCCAAGGAAAUAACAGUAUACAUAUGCUUUGUUUGAGGUCAUGAGGCACGUUCAAUGCUUAUAAGGUGCAACAGAUCUUAGUUUUUGGAGUGAAAGUUCAACCUUUUUCCAAUUACCUUCCUUAGGGGCCAGAUACUUGGAGGCACGCAGUCUUUGGAAAACGGCCUGUCGAGUCCCAUGGAAGAAGCUGGAUAAGCAUGAUAUGGUCUCGAACAAGGUGGUGGUGAACGUCAGAGGACGACCAGUGCUCAGAGUUCACUGCGGAUAGGAACCUACUGCUGCUGGAACAAACAAGGAGCAAGUAGUUGCAGAUUGCCUAGAGAUGAACUAUGCAAGCAUUGGAUAUGCUGGAGUGUUCCCUCCUCUGGAUUACCUUUUGAGUUGUUCUCUUGGAAAAUGUAACCGGAUGAUGUAUACGACCUAUUUUGGUUGCAUGUCAAUAAAAUCAGGGGCAGCCCCUUCUCUGUAAAUAAACUUUUAAAUGUAUUUACAAGCUGGCCUUCACAAA